rnacentral:rRNA from 1 species
UACGUAGGGUCCGAGCGUUGUCCGGAAUUACUGGGCGUAAAGAGCUCGUAGGUGGUUUGUCGCGUUGUUCGUGAAACUCACAGCUUAACUGUGGGCGUGCGGGCGAUACGGGCAGACUGGAGUACUGCAGGGGAGACUGGAAUUCCUGGUGUAGCGGUGGAAUGCGCAGAUAUCAGGAGGAACACCGGUGGCGAAGGCGGGUCUCUGGGGCAGUAACUGACGCUGGAGGAGCGAAAGCGUGGGGAGCGAACAGG